ACCAGCAAGAGUAAGAAGUAUUGGCAGCAGCAAGCAGGCGGGCAGGCUGAGAUCUUGCAUGGAAAUCAUGAACCAGGUCUUGCUUUUCGUUUUUGAAACGUUUUGGAAGGAGAGUUAUGAAUAGCCCAGAAAUAGGUCUCAUUUUGUGGGUAGGAAGAAUGACCAGAAGCAUGAAAGCUAAAUCUCCUGGCAAGUGCAGGGGACCUCUCUUGGAGUGUGCAGUAAACCCGAGGGGACGACUUCUCCUGCUGUCAACUCCUGAACCAUCACAUCUGGAGUGAAGGAAGGGGCUGGUGAAGCCUUGUAAUAAAUGCAAAGGAUGCUGCUGAGAGCUUUGGUCUGCCUUUAACUCAUUGUGGCAAAGUUGGACAUCCCAAAGAUGGCGUAGAUGAACAUGACGAGGAAAAGCAGGAGGCCGAUGUUGAACAGCGCAGGAAGGGACAUCAUCAGAGCAAAGAGCAGCGUGCGGAUCCCCUUGGCGCCUUUGAUCAGGCGUAGGAUUCGUCCAAUCCUGGCCAGGCGAAUGACUCGGAACAGGAUCAUCUCAAAAGAAAGAACUUUGGCAGAAAAGAAACCAACAUCCAUUUCGGAACAGAACAAUGCUACUCCCAGUCUUCACUGAGAAACUGCUCUAGCCAGUGAACGACAGUGAAUGAAGAAAUGCCUGGCUGCUCGAGACACCGAGAGUGACAGCUGCGUGCUCAGCUCAGGAGGACGUUCAUAUCCUUCUUCAAGGCUCUAGGAACAAAGCGUGGUGAUGACAGGAAGACAGUAAGAGCCCAGGACAUAGGGAUGGGAGCUAUGAAGCUCUGUGCUGUACCAAGGACACAAUCAAUGUAAUCGCGGCACCAUAACAGAGGUCAGCAGUGGGUUCGUGCAAUACUGAGCGGGUCAGCAUUCAUUCAUUCAUAUACAGAGAGGGCCCAUGCAGCCACAUCUUCUCUGCUGAAUUAUGAGCUACCGAUGGAUUGUGGGAGAAACAAACAUUCUCUUCAGCCUUGGGCCCACUUCUGAGUUCACUAGGUUAAAGUGAGUAGUCGCUAAUCCAUGGACACAGACGGCCCUGAUUAAACGCAGUGGGUUAGGAAAAAAAGGAAAGAAAAAAAACAUGGCCGUGGGAAAGGGACUAGAAAGGGGAGGGGUUAUCAGGUAAGAGAAGGCUAGGGUGGCAGCAAUCAGAAUGGACUAUCUAUGAAGUUGUCUAAAGCUGAAAAUGUGCACACAGUUCUUAUAUGCUUAUUAACGGAAUGCUGAAGCACAUCUAGGCAAUAGGCAUGUAAUCGACAUCUCAGACCUUCUGUUAGGAAACUGGGAGCCUGACAUAUACAGAGGUAGAUACUUUCAGCCAACCAUUGGACUGAGCAUGGGUCCCGCAAUGGAGGAGUUAGAGAAAGGACUGAAGGAACUGAAGGGAUUUGCAACCCCAUAGAAAGAACGGCAAUAAUCAACCAACCAGAGCUCCCAGGGACUAAACCACCAGCCAAAGAGUACACAUGGAGGGACCCAUGACUCCAGCCGCCUAUGUAGCAGAGGAUGGCCUUGUCAGGCAUCAAUGGGAGGAGAGGCCCUUGAUCCUUGGGCUUCGCUCGAUGCCCCAGUGUAGGGGAAUGCCAGGGCAGGGGGGCAGGAGUGGAUGGGCGUGUGGGGGAGCACCCUCACCAUAGCAGGGGCAGGGAAGACGAGAUAGGGGCUUCUGGGGGAGGAAACUGGGAAAGGGAAUAACAUUUGAAGGGUAAAUAAAGAAAGUAUCAAAAAA
rnacentral:lncRNA from 1 species